UGCCUGAGUGGCGGAAUUGGUAGACGCGCACGACUCAAACUCGUGUUCUUCGGAGUGAGGGUUCGAUUCCCUCCUCAGGUACAAC
rnacentral:tRNA from 1 species